GCUCAACUUUUUAAUUCAAUAAUUUUGAGAAGUUGAAAAUUUACUUUGAUCUGGGUCAUUAAGGGGUGAAUAAGGGGUCCUGAACCAGUGUUAUGCAUUUGUUAGCUCACCCAUCUGCAUGUGUAAAUAUAUAUAUAUGUGCGUGUCUGUAUAAUAUGUUAUAAACAUAGACUGAUGCUGACUUCAUGCUAUCUGCUUAUUUUUAAAUUAUCCAGCAGUUGGAGAGGUGAAACAUUCAGUUGAAAUCAAGGGUAAUGUACUGACUGAACAAGGUGGAGCUGAACACUCAGAGAAGACUGAUGGCAACAUAAGAAGUGAGGCUGAAAUCAAGGUUUCAUCUGAAACUGAGAAAAAAGAAAAGAACAAUAG